GGGUGAGAUCAUACCAGCACUAAUGCACCAGAUUCCAUCAAAACUCCGAAGUUAAACGUGCUUGGUGAGAGCAGUACUAAGAUGGGCGAUCUCUUGGGAAGUCCUCGUGUUGCACCCC
rnacentral:rRNA from 1 species